rnacentral:lncRNA from 1 species
UUUGUUUAGUAUUAUUACAUAUUAAUUUCAGAUGGCUUUGAUUGGUGAUGUUUAAUGUGAAUAUAAUUUUAUGCUGCAUGAACUGUUCGGAUUAUCAGAAGACAUUUGAUUGGUAAGACUUGUACUUCUAUGUAAAUGCUGAGGGGGGAUAGGAGGGGUCCUGAUCCCAAAAUCCCGGGCUUAAAAACACGAGAUCCCGAAAUCCCGGGCUUAAAAAACAUGAAAUCCCGAGGUCCCGAAAUUUGAAAAAAGAAUUCCCGGAUCCCAAAAGGGUCAAUCCCGAAAUCCCGAGCUUAAAAACACCCGAUCCCGGAGUCCCGAUAAAGGUCCUAUCCCCCCUCAAUGCUGGCACACUUGUAUGUAGAUUAAACAUGACUUUUUAGAAUACUUUAUACAUCACAAUAAUAACAUACCUCUUACACAAUUAACCUCAACCAUGGAAAAAACAUGGACAGAAAUGUUAUGUCAAUAAACCAGAAAACACAGAUUUAAAAUAUCGAACAAUCACACACAAAAAGUAAACUCAUAAAAAUACCGAGCUUCGAGGUAAUUCAAACCGGAAAGUCGCCAAUCAAAUGACAAAGUCGAAAGCUUAAACACAUCAAACGAAUGGAUAACAACUAUCAUAUUUCUGACUUAGUAUGGGCAUUUUCUUGUGUAGAAAAUUGAGGUAGUACGUCUAUGUAACGAAUGAAUAACAACUGUCAUAUUUCUAACUUGGAAUAGGCAUUUUCUUUCAUAGAAAAUGGUGGAAAUCUGGUUUUAUAGCUAGGUAAACCUCUCACUUGUAUGCCAGUUGAAAAGAAAUAUCCUUAUUUUGACACCGAUGUGUGAACAAAACAAAAAGUAAAAAUGUCUAAACAGUGGAACAACAGUCAACAUUGUGUUUUAGUCUUAAUCACUAUAAACAAACAAAAUAUGUGACAAAGAAACACAAAAAGGCACAUAGACAAAGCAGAUAAAACCCAACAUAGAAGUACACACAUUUUGUAAUCAAUUUACUUUUUUUGAUAUUUGAAUUUUCAUUAACUUAUUCACCUAUAUAUAUUAUUCUCUGAAGCAGAAAUUAUUUUAGUAUUAUCAUAUACUUAGACUAAAUAAUAUAUGAUUUUUACUGUAUGAUAAUAAAAAUAAAUUAACGUAAACUCCAUAUUUUUCGAAUUGGUGCUUAUCGGACUGAUACGAAAAGUUUAUCACAUGCUUCAAUUGUUAUCACAUGCCUUUCCGUAACAUUAUCGCAUGGCAUUCCGGUGAUACUCGGCAAAUUCUGGAAAAUACUCCUCAAUGCUACGUUUUCAGUGAAAAAAAUUACAAAGAAGUCAACAAAACAAUUAUUUGAAUACUGGAAAGUAUAUUGUGAAGCAUAAUACAAAGAAUUUUACAAAAAUACUGAACUUCGAGGAAAAUUCAAAACAGAAAGUCCCUAAUCAAAUGGCAAAAUCAAAUGACAAAACACAUCGAACGAAUGGACAACAACUUUCAUAUUCCUGACUCGGUACAGGCAUUUUCAAAUGAAGAAAAUGGUGGAUUGAACCUGUUUUUUAAUAGCGCUUAACUGCUCACUUGUAUGACAGUCGCAUCAAAUUCCAUUAUAUUUACAACGAUGUAUGAACAAAACAAAUAGAUAUAAAAGUAAAAAUGUGGAAAUAAUGGUAGAACAGUCAUUAUUGUGAUUUAAUCUAAAUCACUAUAAACCUAUCAAAUAUGUUACAAAGAAACACUAUAGACAAAGCACAUUAAAACCUCAUAGAAGGGCACACACAUAUUUUGUAAUCAAUUUACUUUUUUCUAUAUUUGAAUUUUCAUUAACUUAUUUACUUAUAUAAUAUAUUAUUCUCCGAAGCAGAAAUUAUUUCAAUAAUAUAAGAUAAAAGACAAAAUAUGAAAAUUAUCCAAGAUUGUCUUUUUUUACCUUUUUGUUCUUUUCAUAUGGCGAACAAAGUAACUUUAUUGUGUUUUUAAUAUAUAUAUAAAUAUAAACAAAUACAUUUGUUUAUAUAUAUAUAUCAACAUAAAAUGUCAGUUCGGUAGCAUAUAUAUCUUUAUAAAAUGACUUUGCUGUACUUAAAAAAAACUACAGACACUCUGCUUGAGGAUAUAUCUAUUAAAGUAAAUCAAACUGGCAGGGUUAUUUUAGAGGAAAAUUCAUGCUCAACUGUUUAUCUUUAUUUUGAAGGCUAUAUAUUAAUAUAUAUCAAACACUAUUCAAUCAUUAACUGUUGACUUACUUGUAUUGCAAGAUGGAAACAGCAAGAAAAGUUAAGAAUUUAAAAUCAACUUUACACUAGAGUUAAUUGUGAAAAUAUGAAAAAACAAACGUUAACGUAGAAUCCGAUCUCGAAAAUCGAUGAGAGACAGAAAAAAUUAUGGCGAAGUAGAAAAACAAACUGUGAAAAGACUAACAACAGUCGACAAAACAAUGAAUAUAAAUUUAGACGAAGCAAAACGAACCCAAUAAAAACGGCGAUGGUAUUAGGCUGAAAGGUUAAGCAUAUCCUGUCCCCAUGUAAGCAUGUCCUUUUGGAUUGAACUACUCACAUUUAUCGUAAAAUCUAAUUUUGCAUCGGGUUUCAGGAAGGUUUGUUAUUUCUUACGAAAGCCGAGAAGGAUCAUUCAAAAUUCAAAAUUCAAUAUUCAAAACUCAAACAUCCUACAUUAAUCUAUCAUGAUUCCCCGCGCUUACAGAAGCCAAAAAAGAUUGCAAUUUACACUUUAAUAUACUACUGAAAGCUAUUUUAUAAAGUUUGUUAAGAACACGAACCCAUUGAAACAAGGCAAAGGGUCCGUUAAACCUUCAUAGGGAUACAUCCAAUUCCAUUGAAACCCUUGGUAACACAGCGUCAUUGCAAGUAGCAGCCCUCUAUCAAGAAAAAAGGAAAGGAAACCCGAGC